AUCUGGGCGGCGGAAUUCAGGACGGUCGGGCGGGCCUCGCGCUCGUCGGGCCGUUUGAUAUUUCCGUCGCCGUGUCAGACGUCGCGACCUGUUCGUCGUCGGUCCUUGCUCGGAGGAAGCGCGAUCGAGUUCGUUGCGGGCGCGUUUCGGCGCGUUCCGCGGCGAAGACGCGACUCUCUGGCUGACGACGGACAGUAAGCAACGGUGUCCGGCGUCGUGUCUCGCACUCGGCGUCGGUGCCGGUCAGCGACGAUUUCUUCGGGCCUCUUUCCGACCCGUCUUGAAACACGGACCAAGGAGUCUAACAUGCGCGCGAGUCGCGGGGUUUCGAGCGUGCCACGGUGCGCUCGUUACUUCCGAAACCCGUACGUUGAAGGCGUAAUGAAAGUGAAUAGGGAAGAUGGCGUUCCGAGUCCACGUACCGUGAUCGAGUAUCGCGGCCGGACGUCCGCACUCCCGGGGCGUCUCAAUGGCUCGCCACGGAUGCGGACGGUCGUCUUUCGGGGCGGCCGUCGGUCUGUGGCGGUCCGA
rnacentral:rRNA from 1 species